rnacentral:rRNA from 1 species
AACGAACGCUGGCGGCAGGCCUAACACAUGCAAGUCGAGCGAGAUCUUCGGAUCUAGCGGCAGACGGGUGAGUAACGCGUGGGAAUCUACCCAUCCCUACGGGAUAACACAGAGAAAUUUGUGCUAAUACCGUAUACGUCCUCCGGGAGAAAGAUUUAUCGGGGAUGGAUGAGCCCGCGUCGGACUAGCUAGUUGGUGGGGUAAUGGCCUACCAAGGCGACGAUCCGUAGCUGGUCUGAGAGGAUGACCAGCCACAUUGGGACUGAGACACGGCCCAAACUCCUACGGGAGGCAGCAGUGGGGAAUAUUGGACAAUGGGCGCAAGCCUGAUCCAGCCAUGCCGCGUGAGUGAUGACGGCCUUAGGGUUGUAAAGCUCUUUCACCCACGACGAUAAUGACGGUAGUGGGAGAAGAAGCCCCGGCUAACUUCGUGCCAGCAGCCGCAGUAACAC